GCAUCUUGACAGACGUUAAAACCAGCUUGCAUGCAGCCUAGUAAGAGUAAGAAAUGGCAAGAAUAUGCAAAAUAUUGUUAGGAGUUUUGUGCAGGUCCAUUUCUGGAGAAUGUAGGAGGGAACUGAAUUGGGAAAUGGACAUAAAAGAAUCCUGCAGUUACUUAAAUUUUUUUUUCAAAUGUAGGUAGUGCAUUCUGAGGUUCUUAACGGGCUUACUAGCAAUAGUUAGAUGUUUGUAGCAGUUAUCAUUCUAGAUCUCAGCUUACUUCUGAGUUCUUGAGAUGUAUCUUCUUCUCUUUACUUCUGGUCCUUUGCAAUAGAAAGAGCUACCUUUUUCUUACUCAUCUGUAGAGGAUUUUUCCCAGUGUGUUAUUUUUCUUCAUCCUGCUGUGACUCAGUUUUACAGUGACACAUUUUAUAUCUUAAUGGGAACAAAUUUUGUCCACUUAACACUUGAAACUGAAAGUGGACAGGUUUAAGUAACAGUGCAGCCCCCAGUGCUUUAGUAAUGCCUCCUGCACAUAUUUUCAGAUUUUUAUUUUCUGUUCUUUUACCAAAAAAUGUUACUUCUAAUCACGGGAACCUAUAAUGCUGAAUGUCUGCAACAUAUGCAUCAGUCAGUGCUACUGUUUAACAAUAUAGCUAAUUACUAGGCCUCACAGGAAAUGAGAGAAGGAAUGAAAGGAAGAUAGUCUUCUCCAUUUAAAAGCCUUCUGCUUUUCAGAUAGAGGGUAUAUUCUUGAACUUUUUAAUUUAAAACCUUCCUCGUUCAGGUGCUUUGGUUCUAGUCUCUUAGUUGAUGAGAAUUAACUACUUAGUAAAUCUGCAUUUGCUCCAUAUCCUUGAAAACUUGAUUUGCAGGGAAAGCUACCAGUAAAAGAUGUUGCAAAGAUCCCUCUUCAGCUGUGAAGAGUAGAUUUGUCUAGGAACUACUAAUUCGAGCACAUCAGUUGCCAGUGCAGUGGCAAACUAGAAACUACAAUGCCCUAAUCCUCUGGUAAAAGACCCAUGGAAUAC